rnacentral:rRNA from 1 species
UGAGGAAUAUUGGUCAAUGGACGCAAGUCUGAACCAGCCAAGUAGCGUGCAGGAUGACGGCCCUAUGGGUUGUAAACUGCUUUUAUAUGGGGAUAAAGUGGGGAACGUGUUCCCUUUUGCAUGUACCAUAUGAAUAAGGACCGGCUAAUUCCGUGCCAGCAGCCGCGGUAAUACGGAAGGUCCAGGCGUUAUCCGGAUUUAUUGGGUUUAAAGGGAGCGUAGGCUGUUUGUUAAGCGUGUUGUGAAAUGUAAGAGCUCAACUUUUAGAUUGCAGCGCGAACUGGCAGACUUGAGUGCGCACAACGUAGGCGGAAUUCAUGGUGUAGCGGUGAAAUGCUUAGAUAUCAUGACGAACUCCGAUUGCGAAGGCAGCUUACGGGAGCGCAACUGACGCUAAAGCUCGAAGGUGCGGGUAUCGAACAGG